rnacentral:rRNA from 1 species
GACAGAGGGUGCAAACGUUGUUCGGAAUUACUGGGCGUAAAGCGUGCGUAGGCGGCCAAGCAAGUCGGAUGUGAAAGCCCAGGGCUCAACCCUGGAAGUGCACUCGAUACUGCAUGGCUCGAGUAUCGGAGAGGUUGGUGGAAUUCUCGGUGUAGAGGUGAAAUUCGUAGAUAUCGGGAGGAACACCAGUGGCGAAGGCGGCGAUCUGGGUAGAUACUGACGCUGAGGUGCGAAAGCGUGGGGAGCAAACAGG